UUUUCAUCUUUUUUAAUCUUCUGUUUUCUUUCCCCUAAAUUAGGGACAGACAUCAGACCUGGUGUGACCCUGGCAAGGAAGAGAAGGAAGAAAAAGCAGAAGAGGAGGAAGAUGAUGAUGGAGAAGAAGAUGGAGGAACACAGAUACCACAGAGUCAGAGUCCUUUUUUUGGAGGGACAUACAUUGGACAAGUUCUUGCUAUUUCACAGACACUGGCUGUGACUGGUUUGUGCAAAACCAGAAGAACAAACCAGUUCUAAAACUAGUGCCAGGCAACCACACAGUUCAGACAUUUUCUUUACCUCCUUAAACUUUUCUCCCUGACGAAUCAGCAAGACAAGUGAUCGUUAUCAAACUAAUCAACUGAAAAUUACACAGUGAAGACACUAAGGAUCUGGGGGCUGUAGUGGUGAUUCGGACUUGGGUUUAGACGCAGACAGAGUUUUGGGGGCGGUGAACUCCUGUAAUGGAGCUUGCGUCUCCAUGUGGAUGGAGCAGGGUGCUGCAGAAGGUACUUCAGCUAUUUGGCUAUUUAUCCAGGGCACUGCAGUUAGCCAUGUCCAGUUUUUCGUGCUCCACUUUAGUUUAUCAACAGUUUGCAAGCUUUAUACACAUGCUCUGUGGAUUCCUUUCCUUUUUAUGUUAGAGCAUGGUUCACACAGCGCCACAUACAGGCCUGGCAUGUGUACAACAGGGACUGGAGUCAAAUUCAGCUCUGUAGUCCUAUGGUAUCACCAUGUCGAAACAGGCGGUCCCGUCCCCUCCCAGAAGGGUUUAAGUUAAAAAUCACUGCUGAAAUACCUGCAGUCCCAGAUCACAAAGUAAGAAUACCGAGCAGAACUCGUGAGUUUUUUGGAAAAAUUGCUGUAGCUAAAAUAAUCUUUCCUCGGAACAACGUAAUGUGAUCUUCACACCCCUGCAGCCCCACAGACUGUCGGGAGGUGUCAUGGUAAAAUUACACCGAAAAUAUUUUUGUCACGACUAAAAAAAAAAAAAAAAAGGUUUACUAGAUAAGGACUUCAUUCUUUGUGGAUAAUCGGAGAAUUGGUCUUAAAAUAAAUCACAUCAGUUAAAUGGGUAAAUGUUAAGGGAAUGUUUGGAUUAAACAACGAUAGGAAUUAUUUCUUUACCAAAAAAAAAAAAAAA